rnacentral:lncRNA from 1 species
GUUGUAUAUAACAUUUUUAGAACAAGAAUCGAGACAAUGAUGUGAAUUUAGCUCAUCUUAAUUCAAUUUAACAAAAAAAAAACUCGACAUGGUGGAGGUUACAGUGAAGAUAAGUGAACGAAAAGUGGAAUACUAUAGCAAACAGUGGCGGAACUAAGGGGGGAUGUGGGAAGGCCACGAUCACCCCUCAACUUUUUAUUUUUUUUAAUUCAUAUAUAUUAAAUUACUAAAACAUCCUUAUUUUAAAUUAAAAUUAUUUUUUCUUUUU